rnacentral:rRNA from 1 species
AGAUUGAACGCUGGCGGCAUGCCUUACACAUGCAAGUCGAACGGCAGCACGGGAGCAAUCCCGGUGGCGAGUGGCGAACGGGUGAGUAAUACAUCGGAACGUGCCCAAUCGUGGGGGAUAACGCAGCGAAAGCUGUGCUAAUACCGCAUAAGAUCUACGGAUGAAAGCAGGGGAUCGCAAGACCUUGCGCGAAUGGAGCGGCCGAUGGCAGAUUAGGUAGUUGGUGAGGUAAAGGCUCACCAAGCCUUCGAUCUGUAGCUGGUCUGAGAGGACGACCAGCCACACUGGGACUGAGACACGGCCCAGACUCCUACGGGAGGCAGCAGUGGGGAAUUUUGGACAAUGGGCGAAAGCCUGAUCCAGCCAUGCCGCGUGCAGGAUGAAGGCCUUCGGUUGUAAACUGCCUUUGUACGGAACGAAAGUCUCUUCUAAUAAAGAGAGAUCAUGACGUACGUAAGAAUAAGACACCGGCUAACUACGUACG